rnacentral:rRNA from 1 species
CCUACGGGGGGCAGCAGUGGGGAAUAUUGCACAAUGGGCGCAAGCCUGAUGCAGCCAUGCCGCGUGUGUGAAGAAGGCCUUCGGGUUGUAAAGCACUUUCAGCGGGGGGGAAGGCGUUAAGGUUAAUAACCUUGGCGAUUGACGUUACCCGCAGAAGAAGCACCGGCUAACUCCGUGCCAGCAGCCGCGGUAAUACGGAGGGUGCAAGCGUUAAUCGGAAUUACUGGGCGUAAAGCGCACGCAGGCGGUCUGUCAAGUCGGAUGUGAAAUCCCCGGGCUCAACCUGGGAACUGCAUUCGAAACUGGCAGGCUAGAGUCUUGUAGAGGGGGGUAGAAUUCCAGGUGUAGCGGUGAAAUGCGUAGAGAUCUGGAGGAAUACCGGUGGCGAAGGCGGCCCCCUGGACAAAGACUGACGCUCAGGUGCGAAAGCGUGGGGAGCAAACAGGAUUAGAUACCCGAGUAGUC